UCUAGAUGCAGGAAAUAAAAACCGAAACCGAAAAUGUCAGCCCUCAAUAGCAAGCUCAGGCUGGUCAACGGCCUCAAUCAUGGCUGCCUUGCACUCAACUAUUCCAAACAGAGAAGAUACUGAAUGUGGAAUUGAACCAUAGGGGAACUUUCCUUUUGGGAUUCACUUUCUGUGGUUCUGCCAUGGUUUCUUCUUCGUCUUCGAUCCUGGAAGGCCAACAAUGUUAAGUUAUGGAGUAUAUUCUCCAACUCAUACCUAGAUUCAAGCAUGCGGACAACUUGACUCAUCAUUGGUCUCUUGUCAGCAUCAGGGUCAACGCACCGCAGAGCAGUCAAAAGGGAUCUCUUAAGGGCACUAGUAGAGGGCCUGGUCUCGAUGGUUGGGUCAGCCACUUCUUCUGAUCGCCU